UGAUUUUUUUUCCACUUGGUGCUUCUUCCGCAUAUGCAUCUAUUAUUUAAUGAAGAGAUUGAAACAAAUAUUAAUUAAUAUACUCUAUUUUACAGCACAUGUAUGGUGAUGGUCGGCACGAGGAAGUGGUUAUUCGCCAUCUUGGAGCUGAAGAUGGAAAUACAGUUAUUGCCAAAGAUAUUAGGCUCUCCGACUUUCUUAGUAAUAUGCGAAUAAGGUGAUUAAAGCUUUAAAGAUUUCAGGGCGUGCUCAGGCUUUUGGUAGAAUUCCGGUGCACAUCCAGCUAAAGAAUUCUAAAAGUGAUGGAAAAAGAGUGCUUUGUUAUAACAUACCGUAGUUCUUCCCUUGAAAGCAAGAAUUUCCCGGAAUCAAGAUUCAAGGGGGGUUCACCCCCCAUUGUACUAAAUUUUGAUUACAGUAUAUCCAAGACUGAAAAAGUUUUAUAUAUGAAAUGUACAUUCUGUACUUUGGGGGUUAUUUAAUUGUGGUUUAGAGGGCUUAUAUUUUUGUCCAUAUUAUAAGGUCACUCAAUUGAGGAAAUACGAAACGGCUGUGCAAUAUGGGCUCAGUCUGUAUAGACCUCGGUGAAAAAUAAAGAAUUUCGUGUGCGAUGGUGAAAAUGUGUGGAGUUGAUUUAAUUGCCUUUCGUACAGGCGUGUGCUAAUAUUUGCAAUUUUAUUGGCACAUUUUUUUUUUCUUUUUUUAAUUUCUCGUUAAUCUCAUAGCUACAAGAUACCCGCGAAUAUAACUUCGUUACGACUUUAACAGAAUUUGCUGUAGACUUGUAAAAAAUGAUUGCUAUAUGCAAAUUUA